UGGGGAAUAUUGCGCAAUGGACGAAAGUCUGACGCAGCGACGCCGCGUGUGGGAGGAAGCUCUUCGGGGUGUAAACCACUGUCAGGAGGGAAGAACGGCGCCGGUUCGAACAGUUCCGGCGAUUGACGGUACCUCCAAAGGAAGCGCCGGCUAACUCCGUGCCAGCAGCCGCGGUAAGACGGAGGGCGCAAGCGUUGUUCGGAAUUACUGGGCGUAAAGGGUGCGUAGGCGGCCUCGUAAGUCUGACGUGAAAGCCCCGGGCUCAGCCCGGGAAGUGCGCUAGAAACUGUGAGGCUCGAGUGCCGGAGGGGAGAGUGGAAUUCCUGGUGUAGCGGUGAAAUGCGUAGAUAUCAGGAGGAAUACCGGUGGCGAAAGCGACUCUCUGGACGGCAACUGACGCUGAGGCACGAAAGCGUGGGGAGCAAACAGGAUUAGAUACCCACGUAGUCCCUGAGCGGGCUGGCAAGGCGCAU
rnacentral:rRNA from 1 species